UGCCAGCCGCCGCGGUAAUACGGAGGGGGUUAGCGUUGUUCGGAAUUACUGGGCUUAAAGGGUUCGUAGGCGGUUUUGUAAGUCAGGGGUGAAAGUCGGUGGCCCAACCAUCGAAUUGCCUUUGAUACUGCAUCACUUGAGUGUGUUAGGGGAGAGCGGAACGUGUAGUGUAGCGGUGAAAUGCGUAGAUAUUACACGGAAGGCCGGAGCCGAAGGGGGCUCUCUGGGACACAACUGACGCUGAGGAACGAAAGCGUGGGGAGCAAACAGGAUUAGAUA
rnacentral:rRNA from 1 species